GUGAGGGCGAUCUGGCAGUGACAUCUGUCACCCCAUUGAUUGCCAGGGUUGAUUCGGCUGAUCUGGCUGGCUAGGUGGGUGUCCCCUUCCUCCCUCACCGCUCCAUGUGCAUCCCUCCCGAAGCUGCGCGCUCGGUGGAAGAGGACGACAUCCCAGGUAUAGAAGGAGUGUACCGAGGUCUCCAGUCUUCGGUCCCGGGUAUACGAUAGCUGCGCUCCCCUGCUAGAACCUCCAAACAAGCACAAUUCAAUCAGUUUCAAAGGUUACAUCACUUCUUUGUCCCAUCCACCACCUCUGUUCUAGUAGAGAAGGAUAAAUCAUUGAUAU
rfam:Anolis carolinensis unplaced genomic scaffold chrTn0076, whole genome shotgun sequence.